CAUUUUUCAAAAGUGUCGAUCUCUAAAUUGUCCUCCAAUUCUGGAAUGACCCGCUUAUGUUCUCACGGCACCAAAAAAAAGUGAAAUAUUUUACUUAUUUCUCUUUAAAUCCCCUUGUUUCCAAAAAACUUACUUGCUUCAGUGGUUAAAUCAGAUUAUGAUCUGAAUCAAUAACUGAUUGAACGCAGAACUGUGCACCUGUUGAAGGCUCACCAUUUAUCCUCGCCGCUAACUACCUGCAGCCGUGGCUGAACGGAGCUUCACGCGCAGAGUGAAAGAGAAAGGUAGAAGAAGGACAGCAGUCUGUUGCGAUGAAAACAAAGUGGCGUAUCUAUAUCUUAUGGAGUGUUUUAUCACUUGACCUCCUCAGCUUCGCCCUGGACUCUUCUAAACCUCCGCUAACAAGAAGGAAGAAGGUUUUCAAACUGUCAAAAUUCCAAACAUACAAACUGCCAAGAAAAGGCAACAGAACAUCCUCCCACAGGUCGGCUGCCAGCGCUUCUCCAUUGGCUCUACUCAGUUCCCGAUACAUCCGUCAAGGGGAGCCCAAGGCAAAGAUCCUGUCGGACUUUGCUUACCUCCCGGACGUUUCUGUAACCUGCGCCACGUCGGACUUUGUGGUGCGGGUCAAACCGACUUUCUACGGCCAUGGCGCAGAUGCAGAGGAGCUGAAAUUAGGCAGCACCUGCAAAAGCAACGGGGUUCUCAAACCCUCCGGUGACCUGCUCUUCACGUAUCCUCUGACAGCGUGUGAUGUCGUGCGUGAGUCUCCCCUCGGUUAUCUGCUCUACAAAUUCACGCUCCAUUAUGAGCCUUCGUCAAAGCGUUUACCAAAGAGGAUCGAUGUCGACAUUGAAUGCCGUUAUCAAAGGUUAGACUUGUGUCUCAGCUUUUUUCCACCUCGUGUGUGUGUGUGUGUGUGUGUGUGUGAGCUCGAUAUUUACUAUCUCCAAAAAACCCUGUCCAGGAACCACCAUGUGCACCAGCUGACUGUGCAGCCCACCUGGGAAACCGUUGUUGUGCGUAAAAAGCUGAAAGGAAGUGCAAAUGACUUCCAGAUGGAGCUGAUGGAUGGUAUGUUUUAA
rnacentral:lncRNA from 1 species